rnacentral:rRNA from 1 species
UACGGAGGGGGCUAGCGUUGUUCGGAAUUACUGGGCGUAAAGCGCACGUAGGCGGCUUUGUAAGUUAGAGGUGAAAGCCCGGGGCUCAACUCCGGAAUUGCCUUUAAGACUGCAUCGCUAGAAUUGUGGAGAGGUAAAUGGAAUUCCGAGUGUAGAGGUGAAAUUCGUAGAUAUUCGGAAGAACACCAGUGGCGAAGGCGACUUACUGGACACAUAUUGACGCUGAGGUGCGAAAGCGUGGGGAGCAAACAGG